GCAGUGCACAUAGCAACUCGAGUUGACCUCAUUUAUCCUCUUCAAAAACAUUCUGGCUGCAGGAAGCUUUUGCUCUCACAAGUCUACAUGAAAAACUCCAGGUCAGUGCCAGGUCCCAGCAAGGCGAGAUGCUGUUCUUUGAAGGAAAGUCCCAGCAGAUAGGACAGGACUUCCCACACCCUACAGGAGGCUGGGUGUCCACCAAGGAGGGCUGAACUCAUUCACAAGGACCCGACUUUCCAUGCUCACCUUCUGCAAUCCCUGACUCUUCUGAGACAGUGAUAAUUCACUCUGGAAGGCCUGGUGCCUGAAGUAGUUAUCCAUCACUAUCAGCACAACUCAAACCAUCAAACAACUCCCACAGGACUCUUUCAGAUGUUAGUUUAGUGAUUUUAAGUCACUAAGAUGCCUUGUGAAUUUUUAUGUCCACUGGCACAAUGCCAAAGUCUAAGAAAAACCUAUAUUUUGAAAAAAACCCUAUUGAUAAUGAGAUAAUACUGAACCUCUUAUUUAUUAAAUAUUUAUCAUUAUCCAGAAAUGACACGUGAAAUCAGGAGCAGAUUGAUUUUCAAACAGAACUCAUGAGAACAAUCUCUCUCUUGGUAGGACUUAGUAGAACUUUGCUAUCUCUGUAGCAACAUUCAGGAUCUAGUAACUAGGAAGGCCUGGUACACCAUGGGGAUUAAUGCUCUAAACAAACCCAGGGGGCUUCAGAGGGGUCAGAACAUGCUCAUUUCUGUGCCUACUUCCAUAAUCACACGGAUUAAUUUUUUCAACAAACUGAACUGGCUGCAGCAGAAAUCUCCACUCUUCUGUGCAGUCCUUGUCUCAGCCUGUUCCCACAGACCCAGACAUGCAGGGGUGCUUUCAGACUGCCCAGGUGCCAUGCCAAGCUCUCCCUGCCUGGCAGCCUGCCCUUCCAAGGCACCACUGGUGGGAGAAGGGCCAGUGCUCCACUCUACCCUGCCCAUGGAGAACUGAUCUGGUGUCAGGGCUCUGCCUUUCUUCAAUGUCACCGACGUUGCACAGAUGCUUUCGCGCAGUUGGCAGAUGUGGCCCGGGAAAGACACGGAGUGAAACUCUGCAGGAAAGCUGCUUGCAAGUGGUAUUAAUAGAAAAAACACAUGCAGGAGUGAUCUGAGUAACUUCAUUUCCUUGAGGAGGCAAUAGUGAGGCCAAGAAGAAAUUCAAAAGUAAAAUAAAUGAUAUUGUUAGAGAUGUGAAAAAAUAGCAUCCCCUUCUUUCCUUUCUUCCCCCUCCUUCCUGCCUGCCCCCUCCAGUUUCAUCCACUGUUUUGAUGGAGACAAAUACAAAGUAUUUUGUCUGGAAUAUCCAUACUUGAUUUU